GCAGUCUGCAACUCGACUGCACGAAGCUGGAAUCGCUAGUAAUCGCGGAUCAGCACGCCGCGGUGAAUACGUUCCCGGGCCUUGUACACACCGCCCGUCACACCAUGGGAGUCGGAAAUGCCCGAAGCCAGUGACCCAACUGCAAAGAGGGAGCUGUCGAAGGCAGGUCUGAUAACUGGGUGAAGUCGUAACAAGGUAAC
rnacentral:rRNA from 1 species